rnacentral:rRNA from 1 species
UGGACAGAAAGACCCUAUGAAGCUUUACUGUAACUUGAAAUUGAAAUUGGACUUUAUUCGCGCAGUAUAGGUGGGAAGCUUUGAUGAUAUUCUUGUGGGAAUAUUGGAGCUAUCAGUGAGAUACCACUCUUGUAAUGUUAGAUUUCUAACUUUGUACCAUUAGCUGGUCAAAGAACAGUUUCAGGCGGGCAGUUUGACUGGGGCGGUCGCCUCCUAAAUGGUAACGGAGGCGUACAAAGGUUUCCUCAGAUCGGUCAGAAAUCGAUCGUAGAGUGUAAAGGCAGAAGGAAGCUUGACUGUGAGACCUACAAGUCGAGCAGGGACGAAAGUCGGUCUUAGUGAUCUGACGGUACUGAGUGGAAAGGCCGUCACUCAACGGAUAAAAGUUACUCUAGGGAUAACAGGCU